rnacentral:lncRNA from 1 species
AGCCAUGCCUCCAAUGAUGUCCUCUAGAUCUGUAAUUGUACAUGGCACCUCGAUCUCGUGCAGGGCGCUUCAUCCAAACGCAAUUAAAGCAAGCUUUUGCAUGCGGUUCAGAACUUCCCUCUCCUCUCUUUCAAAUGCUUCCCUGAAGCCCUUGCGUGAGUCGUCGUCCAUGGGAGGCAGGACAAUGGUCAUCUGGGGAAUAGGCAGAUCAAGCCUUUUCCACGAAUGCCUGCCAGUCUUCGUAACCUUUGGCUGACCGUCUUCAAUCACGUAGUCCCUCAAACCCAUGAAACUCCCCGCUUGCUUGAUGCUUAACUCCUGGAUUAUAAUUUAUCAUGUUCACAAGCUCCCCAUUCCCCAGCACAUCCCUGUAUCGCCUCUUGAACGCUUUUAACAGCUCCGAAGGCUUUUAGGCAUCCAUAUGGAAAGUCACAAACUGGGCCUCAUCCAUUGUCCUCUCAGCGGCAUCAGCACCAUUCCGGGAUGGACUUGCGAAGAGGACCCUCCUUCCUCGUGUGGCUCUAUAUCCUUGAAAGCUAUCGUCCACAAGGAGCCAAGUCCCUGCUAAGCUCAACAGGUCUGUCGGAACUUUAGAUCUCUCCGCCCAGCGAGAUGAUGAUGAAGACCCUGGCAUCCACAAACAGUUGCACUAAAAUGUAUCUCCAGCUAGUUCCGCAUCGCUGAGGAGCUCGCGAACGAAGUACCAGAUGCAGCACGACUUCCUAUCCCCGGAUUACCGGAGAUGUGCGCGAAGAUGCUGUGGCCGUGUCUCAGCUGACGAUAGAUCUUCUCGUAAGACUUGCGAACGAGGAUGUCGGCAUGGUUGGCUGUGAGCUCGGCUAUGACGGCAGGGAGCCUCAGAAAUCCUUCCGCAUCCCAACCCCUGCACAGGUGCGAGCGGGUGUCCGGGGGGAAAGUCUUGUCCUUGGCAAAAGGGACUGCAUAAACAAGCACACACUUGUCAAAGUUACAAAUCAUGGAAGAGCAGAGGAAACAUACACACAACGAAAACAAAAAGACUGUACCUCGAAUGAUAUGCUCUGCCCCGGCGUCGAACUUGACACGGUUUAAGCCAUCGUCCACGCUCAUCCGGCUUCUUGUAAAAGAAGCUUAGGGCGCCAGCCGUAAGAACCUCUCCGACCCGCACUUUGCCAUUCUUUAGACAGAACUUGAGCUUGUAACUUGGCUCCUCACUCCUGAGCUCUUCAAAUCGGUGGAGAGCAUAAAACAAAUUUAGUAAACCGGUUAAGUUGCUGAAAACCUUUAUCUUAAAGAUGGUGAAACAAUAUUUGGCGAAAAACGUAGUAUAUCCGUUUGUUUCGUAUAGGGUUUGUGCUUGUAAAAGGGAAACUAGAAGAACUUCUCACGAGCAGAGCAGAUCGGAGAUGGUGGCGGUGGACGUUGAGCGGUAUGUUGAGCUCAAGCGCAUGAUCGACGACUUGGCGAUUGAGGCUGGUAACAAUAGGAGCAUCCGGGUGAAACAAUACAAUAGCUUCGACUUCGCGGGCUAUGAUCACUGGGCCGAGACCAACAACAAGAGGGCGCUCAGGCCGGACUGCCAUUACAUGGAGGACGAGGUGGCGUUGGAUCCUCCCCAUGCCGACCGGAUCACGCGGAUGGUGGCCGUGGCGCUCCAGCAAGAGGAGGAAGACAACAGGAGGCAACUGGCUAAGGAGGUGAACCACUUCACAAGGCAACUGGCGUUUCAGCAACAACAAGCCGGGCCACCGAGCAAGAGAGCUCGCCACUGAUCGUUGAAUCAUCCCCUGGAGGGAUGAUCGAAAACAAUCUUGUAUCACAAGCUCCAACAAACGUGUGAGCAAAGCAAGCUCCUACCAAGGAGGACAAACUUUUGUUGUUUGUACUUCAUAUAUCUGGCAAUGAAGAGAUCUUUCCAGUUCUAUGAGCUUUAGUGGCGUUCCAUCUCCAGAAUAUGGCUGUGAGUCCCUUCCUUUAGCUAAUAAGCCCUAGCUAGAGCUACAUUACGAGCGAAGGAGUUAUUAGCUGCCAGGGUAUGCCGUAUUAUUGGUGCAAAGAUAAUGUGUACAAGUGCUCCAGUAACAUUAAUACUCAAUUCACAACUACACAAAAGCAUUAGAAUGACGUGUUUUUCCAACCAAAAUUUUGUGUUUGCUGGAAAUUUAAGUUGUAAUUUUAACCUACUUGCUAUCAACUUAAAUGUUAGUAGCAAAUUGGCUUUAGUUACAAAUUUUAAAUUGCAAUGUCUGAUAGCAUUCAUAGUUACUCAGAUUUAAGUUGGAAAUUAUAGUUGUUCUUUACAACUAAAAUAGAAAUCAUAACUUUUACAUAUUCUUUAAAAUUAGAUAAGCUCAUAUAUGUUGCUAAUUAGAGUUGCAAUUUACAAUUUUUAACAUGCAACUAAAAUGUAAGUUCUUAAGGUUUGUAGUUGCAAAAUUUUUAGUCACAAAUUUCAAUAAUAUUUAGUUUAUGCUUUUUGUUUAGAAUUUAGGAAUGAAAGUUGCAUGUUGGUAUUUAAGAUGUAGAGGAAAUCAAAUUUGCCUCAUACAAAUUAUCAUAGAUUAUAUUCAUCUUUAUGGUAGACAUCCUUCAGCACGCAUGAUUUCUAAUAAAAGAUAUUCAAGGGAUUAGAUUAUGCAGAUCUACUACUUCAGCAAAAUAAAAUUUUUAAAAUUGGUGAAAUUUUUGUUAAUAGAGGUGGCAAUGACAAUAUUAAGGAUGAGAUUAUUUUUCAGAAUGGUUACAUGGAUAUGAAGAUAAUUUAUUACCUAUUUAUGAAGGGGCUAGUGCUUCUAUUUUGUCAGCUUGUUUAAGUUAUUCCUAAAAUAUCAAACCAAGCAACAGAUUAUUUUGUAACCUAAUUAAUUUUUAUUUAUUAUUUAGUAUUAAAUUUUUCAUUAUUUGGAUGAAGGCUCUUCAAACAAAUAUUACCUACAAAUAUAGUUUAUAUAUGAAGUAGUUCAAGUAUGUAUGAACCAUGUAGAUAUGCAUAAAAUUUCUCGAAACCCCAAACUGCUGCUAAAUAAUCUUUCUCCGUCGUGGAGUAGUUCACCUUUGCUGGUUGUAAUGUACAGCUUAUAGAUGCAAUGGGAUGAUGUUGACCAGGCACACUCGGGCUUUCUUGCAUCAACACACCUCCAAGACCAAUAUCAUAAGCAUCUACGCACAAAAUAAAAGGUCAAGUGUAGUCAGGAUAUGCCAAAACCGGAGGAGUCAUCAACAAUUCUUUGAGAUCCACAAACGCCCGCUCACAAUCUGAAGACCAAAUGAAAAAUGACGUUGAUGACUUCAGCAACGCUUGCAACGGUGCAAUGCGAUCAGAAAGAUGAUUCACAAAACAAUCGAAAUACUGCACCUUGCCCAAGAAGCGCUGCACAUCAUUCACACACUUCGGAGUAGAGAACUUUAGAACAGCCACAAGUUUGUCAGGAUCAACUUGCAAACCCUCAUGAGAAAUACGAUACCCAAGAUAAAUCGUGUUCUUGGACCUAAACACGCAUUUCAACCGCUUCAACUUUAAACUAACAUUCCGUAGUUAAUCCAACACUUUACACACAUCACGAAUGUGCUCCUCCUACGUCCCCUCCGAGUGAAUCAAGACAUCAUCAAUGAAGUCAACAAUCACCUCUAGCAUAUCACAAAGAAUUUCAUCCAUCAUCCGCUGGAAAGUUGUUGAAGCAUUGUUCAAAGCAAACGGCAUCACUAAGAACUCAUACAAACCAAAUGGUGUACGAAAACCAGUCUUAGGAAUAUCUUCUUCGGCCAUCGGUACUUGCCAGUACCCAGAAGCAAGAUCUAGCUUGGUGAGCUAACGACUUCACCCCAGACGAUCCAAGAGAUCAGCAGUGUGAGGAAGAGGGUACACAUCUGGGAUCGUCACUUCAUUUCAUGGACGAUAGUGGAUGCAGAAACGAAUACUCCCAUCAGGCUUCGUCACAAGAUGAGGUUCAUAUGCCCAAAGACUCCGCGACUUCUAAAUAACACCCUUCUCCAACAUCUCCUUGACGUUUACACGUCCUUGGGUGACCGACGACAAACAGGAACCUUAAUUGGAUGAGCAUCCCCGGUUGAAAUCGGAUGACGUGUGGCAAUCUUGGCCCCAGACGAUAGGUCAAAUUCAAAGAGAUCAGAAUACUCCUUCAUAAGUCAGUCAACCACUGCAACACAAAGACUGUCGGAGGGAUUGAAAAAGGGAAGAGUAGAACAAGAUAAAAACAUAGGAGAAAAGAAUGGAGGAAUAAAAGUAAUGAAAGCAAAAGUAUAAGUAAAGGGACAAAAAGGUACAGAAGUGAGAGGAAUGGAUAAAACAUAAAGAAGUAUGAGAUAAGGGGGAGAAGCCUCAAAGUCAGACUUGGCAUGAUUGCAUUGCAACCAAUCUAUACCAAGAAUGAGGUCAAAAACUUGACUUGGCACCACUCGUAAUGACUACAACUCAAGCUCGAGACACACACAACCAGGUUUGCCUCAUCCCAUGCACAUGCAUGUGUAUGGCCGUUGCCAUAAAGAAUGAAAACUAGUUUCGCUGCACGACGCAAGUGUAGACGGCAACGUGUGGUAACAGGUCGAGCAAUAGAAGAUAAACUCGAACCUAUAUCAACUAAUACGGAGAGAAUAAUAGAAGACCUCUUGUUAUAAAAACAAGUUUGGAAAGUAAACACUGGAUGAACUGGUGCCGAGCAAACCCCUUAAUGAUACUCCCGAAAGAAAGAUGAAGGGGUCAUUAACUUAUUCGCGCAAAGUCCCUCAAUUACUCACGCGACUCCUUAUUUCCCGAAUGCAUCUCAGUGUUCAAACCUUCAACUGCAGCAGCACUAACAGGAUGUUGCUGACGCCAAGGUCUCCACCUAGGAAAUGGAGGUCGCCAAUCCAGAAAAUGCUGACAGCGCUAAUAAGUAUGACCAACUUCAUCACACACCUAGUAGUGAAUAUCACGGCCAUGACCACGUCCUCGCCCUUGUCCUUAGACUCGAGCAAUAACAGCAUCAACCUCCAUUAAAACAGGACCAUCAUCCAUAGGAAGGGGAGUUGAAGGACGGGUAGCGAGAAGUGGAAGAGGUGACAUGGCAGAAAGAAAAGGAGCUUAAGUUCCUUUGGUUGGAGCUGGAUAGCUUUGGGAAGGAAGAUUUACUUCCUCUUCUAGAAGGGAACAAGCACACAGUCAUGCACGACGAAGUUUUCAAAAUGAGGCAUGCACGAAACUUCACCUGGAACAUUACACUACUGCAAAUCCCCUCUCGAACUUGUUUUCCUGGUGCCACUUAAGGAGCUCUUGGAACAAAUCCGAGAAUGGCCCCAUUGCGUUCCUAUCUCCGGAAUAUCCUCCUUCAGGCAUAUGCCCAGAGGGGGUCUUCGACAGGAUGCCGUCCAAGGACGUGGUCGCGUGGACGGCUAUGGUGAAUGCCUAUGCCGAGAACGGCGUUGUGGACCUCGUGCAAUGUAUGUUCGAGAAUAGGCCCGUGAGGAACGUGGUGUCGUGGAACUCCAUGCGUUUUGCAUAUGCCCAAAGCGGGUAUUGCAGUCAAGACAUGGAGCUCCUUCAUAUCAUGCCUGCUCACAACGAGUACACGUGGAAUGUUAUGAUUCCUUGCUACGCUCUUAGUGGAAAAACGGGCAAGGCUAUGGUUGUGUUCCCGUCGGCGCAAGAAUGCUAUGGUGAAAGAUCCCUUUGACGCAAUGCCUGCUCGCAAUAUUGUGUCGUGGAAGAAGCUCGAUUUAAGCUCAAUCACCUGGAGCGUGAUGCUUCAAGCAUUUGCAGGGUUUGGGCAUGUACAAGAUGGCGAGAGUUUGUUUCAGAUCAUGCGAGAAACCUCACUCGGCGAUCCCAGUUGCUUGUCAGCGUGGACCAACAUGAUUGUUUUAUAAGAUUGACAAAGCUCGAGCAGUGUUUGAUGCUUUGGCGUGCCUGGACAAGGUCUCCUGGAACACCAUGCUCGCUCACCUGACGUCCACCACUGCAAAUAUUUCUUUGAGCAAAUGCCCGGCCACAACCUGGUGUCUUACAACACUGUCUUGUCCUCGGUGGUCAGCUGCAGAUUAUCCGAGAAAGCAGUGAAAAUCUUCGUCGAAAUGCUAGAGAUAACAUACAGUGUGAUGAUGCAAGCUUAUGCACAGGAAGGCCAGCUUGCGAGUGCCAGGGACAUCUAGGAGACAAUGCCGGAUCGCAACUCAGUGGCUCUCAUCACCGUGAUCUUGGCACUCGCACAGCCCAAUCCCCAAGAACAGCCUGGAGCUCGAUCAUCCCGGCCUAUGUGCAGAACGGACGCGUGACUGGAUCGCUUUCGAGAGAUGAUCUUGCUGUCUUUCAAGCCAGACGAGACCAUCUUCACGAGAAAUCUAGCAGCGGCAGCGAGCCAGCUCGAGCAGUGUUGCCGAGAUUUUUUGUCCAUGAUCGCAAACUUUGGGAUCUCUCCCAGGAUCGAGCAUUAUGAUUGACACAAUAGGGCAACCUGGUCAGCUGGAGCAAUCCAUGCCAUUUGUUCCACAGCCGGGCUUGUGGAUGAUUCUUCUGGGCUCGAAAUGCAAAGGUUGUGGAAAUGUCGGCUGGAAAAUCGGGAUAAUGCCAGGUUGACAACCAACAAUCCUAGUCAUCCCGGAGAUGCGGGUGUUGUGCCAUGUAAGCUGAAAACCUAUCCCACCAGCCAAGGCGCAAUAGAGGAACACUGGUAUAAAAGAAAUGGAGUGGGAGGUAUGGUUAAUCCGGGAGAGCCUGAAAGGGCGCUUGCAUCCCUCGGGUUGCUUAGUAAAUGGGGUCGCUGACCCUUGACCACUUGGCCCCCCUCGUCGGUGACCCAGUAGUGCUAAGUCGGUAUGGUCAACUCCACCGUGACCUACCGGAUAGCGCUUGGUACCCAGGGCGCCCAAGGAGGCCCGAUAUCUUUUGCAAACAUUUCUUUGAUCUUCCUUUGUGGAAUUUCUUGGUGCGCCAGGCCUUGAAGUAAAUUUUUUCACUCAUUUGAGAGAAACGAAUGUUUGCGGCAUCAGGCGGUUCUCAAUUUCGCAAGACCAUCAAAGCUCAACCUAAUGCGUUAUGUAGAUGAUGCUUCUCUCUCUUUCUUUUUCCCGAACAAGCAAGGAUGGCACUUUCAAGUGCCUGAGAAAGGAUAGAGAAUUGUGCUCCAAACACGUUACACUUGUUCUAACAAACUUGUGAACAAAGCAAGCUCCUGCGAAGGAUCAAAAACUUUUGUUGUUUGUACUUCAUAUACCUGGCAAUGAAGAGAUCUUUCCAGUUCUAUGAGCUUUAGUGGCGUUCCAUCUCGCGGAAUAUGGUCGUGAGUCAUUUGGGUCUUCCUUUAGCUAAUAAGCCCUAGCUAGAGCUACAUUACGAGUGAAGGAAACGUAUUGGUGCAAAGAAAAUGUGUACAAGUGCUCCAGUGGUGCCUGAUCAAGAACAUCAAUACUCAAAGUCUAUAUUGAUCAAUUCAACCUCUAAGGAAAAAACGUUUGUUUUGUUUUUUGGAAAAAAACAAUGCGCCUACUCCCUCUUCUCAACUUUGUGAUUGAGGACAAUGGCUUUUCAAUGGUUCUUCUUUUCUCCUUUUCCUUGUUUCUCAUCGAAUGCUUGUGUUCUUGCUCCCGCUUCACCACUGCCCUUGCAAGUGAAAAACAACCAAACUACUGAAGUAACUGCUCUGUGCAUCAUGUUUUCUUCGAAUCUAAGUACUAUUCUUACGGUCUCUCUGGUUCCACUUCCGAGAACAAACAUGAAUUUAGAGACGAGUCAUUUAAAAUGAGAUGGAAGUACUUUUAAUAACAGAUUAAGGAAAUGGAGACUUUUGAGCAACAGGAUUUUACCAUGUGAUUCAGCUGCAGGGUUUGCUCGAGGUGAUGGCAAACUCCAGUGUUGCAAAUCUCACACUUGCUGCCUUUGGCACUUGUGGCAGUAGUCCUGGCACACCUGGUCGCUUGGAGGUGCACAGGAAGUGCCCCUCCACACAUAUCCCCGCCAUAGCCAGGCUCUCCUUGUUGACCACUCCAGGGUGACGACCAAGUCCAUGAGGUGAGUUUGGCCAUUUUGGAGAGUAUAUAUUCCAUUUCCCACUAAGGCUGUGGGUGGUAAUGUUUUUCACAGGGUUAGUAGCCUCACAAACUGUCGUUGAUUUCUUCGAACAUGGCAUGGUUUAGACGAAAUGGAGACAUCGCUUUUUUUCGUCCAAGAGGAGAAACGAAGAACAAACAACAUGGUACGUACCUGAGGAAAAUGUCUGAGAAGACGAGGUCGGCAGCCGAGUCCGAGGAGCUCACGGGAGCAAGCUCGAGCGCAUGACUAGGAGCCUGCUGGGCUCGCCCGGAGCGAUCGUGCAGGGCAGCUUCGAUGGAUCGCUCAAGGCUAAAGCAUCUGAAGAAGAGCUGAAGAAGAUCCUCCGCCUGGCAUUUCACUAUGAUGCCUUCUAGUGGAAAACUGAUAAGAACUGAUGUCUUGAGAUGUAUUUUAACUUAGAAAUGUAUUUUCCUUUUACACAACAACUAUUGGAGCAAUCAAUUUCACUGAACGAAGAAAUCUUGGUUUUGGUGGUGGCAACUGUGAUGGCGAGUCCUUGUCCUCGCUAGAUUUUCUUUUUGACUCUUUGGGACAACUUUUGGACGUGCUAGCCUCCACUGGAUUGAUCACAAACAAGCUCCCCAUUGCACUACUUGUCGAUGGUAUACAAACUGAAAAGGGUUGAGACAAAAGGGAGGCAUAUAUAGCUUUUAGUACGAAUAUUCUUUAUUUUAUUCUGGUCUAAGCUGUUUUGCGUUACUUAUAAUUUACGGUCAUACCUUGUAUGUCUUAAGAAAAAAAUUUAUAAUAAUAAAAAAAUAAAGAGAAAUGAAAAAUAUAUUAUGAUUUAAUAUUUGAGCUUUUAUCCUCAUUGAAAUGCCACAUCCACUUGCAUGGUUUCCUAGCUUUUUAUAAUGCCUAGAACCUUUGGAGUGAUAUAGCAAGCUAAAGUAAAGAUAAAUCUUUUGAUUAGGAAUAUCUUGAAUUGUUUGGCCAUGAGGUAUAAAAUCCUAACUUCCCUUCUAACAUUAUAGGUAUUAAUAUAAACUUACUUCAAGGAUUAUUAGUAUUAAAAAUAUUAGUUAGGAUUUUAAUAAUUGACAGAAAAAACAAAUAUAAGUUUAAACAAGAAAAAUAUAAGAGAAAUGUUACUUACAAUGCUUACAGAAAUAUGGCAAUGAAUAUGUGAUUUCACAUGGGAGCAUUAUAUAUUUACACAUGUGCAAAUUUAUUUUUUUGUUUUGAGUUGCAUGCAAAAAUAUUAUGCAUUCAAUCACUUUUCAAUUGCUAUAUAACCAAUUAAAAUGCCAUUGUGUUGUCAUGAGAUAUGUUAUAUAUGCAUGGGGCAUAACAACUCAUAUUACCAUAUUGUUGCGAAUUUGAUUUUGAGUAUCGAAAGAUAUUUGUCGACCAGUCCUUACGGGCACUUUUUCCUUACUGCCCGACAGUGGUAUUGAUGAUCCCUUUUAUAGUUUCCACUCAAGCUAAUUGAGAAACUGGUCAUCGUGUGUGCACUUGAUUAGAUAAGCAUAAGGACAGAAUUCCUACAUACUAUUUGUCAAGCAUAUUUAAUCUGGUUAGAGAAACUCAUUCGUUGAUUUGCACUUGCUAGUGUUGGGAACCCCCAUGAUAUUGAGACUAGUCCCUCAAUAUCACUAGAUGAUAGCUUACUGUGUUUGCCAAACACCCUCGCUAUCAUGCCCUUUGUGUUAGUCUCAUUUCGGUCCCAAAUGCUAAUUAUGAAAAAUAUCUAGAUUUGCUCAUUUGGCAUAUUUACGGAAUGUAAAGAUUGGUCUGAACACAAUGGUGUUUGUCCCGUGUCCAAAUUCACAAUUUAACGCCAUUCCAUAUUUAGUAAGUUUCAAACUUGUCCCAAAGACUAAUUCUUGGUACUAAGGGAGGCUUGGGGUGAAAGCCCAAAGCGUGUGUCCUUCAAGGGGGGGGGGGGGUUCCAAAUGUAUAGUAGGGAUAAUGGGUAGGUCAGACAUGCCUGACUAACCUAAGGCAUAAUUUAGCUCCUGCAUGCAUGUCUGUCUUUGUUCUGCGUCUGGCUUGGGUCUAAGCUCAAGUUUCAUUCUAUGCUAGCUGAUGGAGUACCCAUGUCCUCACGUUAGACCACCGGUAUGCCAAAAUAGCACCAAACUCCGUUUAACUAUGUUUUGCAUGCUGGUUUUGGCAUUGGGAUGCUGGUUGCUCUAGGACUAUACCAAGUCGCUCCGGGCUCCUGUCCCUUUGCUUCUUGGGCUAUAUGUUCGGGAAUUGCUCUGUGGUUCGGUUCCAUUGCUCCUAGGCUCCAUGCUUGGGAGUUUGGCACCGUUCCUUCGUUCAGUGGCCCACCAUUGAACCUCGGGUUCCGCACCACUGUCCUUUGGACACGUGGCAUGUGUCACAUGGUAUAAAGAGGGUUUAAGUUCCAUUUCGUGGUGUUAUCCUAUGGUAAAUCACUAUAGGAUAAAGGGUCAAAACCACGUGCGCUACACCAUAUACACAUCAUGCCAUGUCAUUUUAGACUAUGAUAUCACUGUAAUUUAGCAAAGGUUUUUUUUCUCAUUCUUGUGAGUGCAAAUUUAGGAUGAGUUAAUUGUGAUCAUUUCUCUCUUCUCAUUUUUCUUAGUUAUAAUUCAUUUUUCAUGGUUAUGGCUUAUUUCUCACAACUAUAACUUAUUUCUUGUAGUUGUGGCUUAUUUCUUAGAAUUUAGAGGUGUUAUGCACCUUAAUCUAUUUAUUGCACCUAUUUAUUGGUGUAGUGGCAAGUUUGAUCAAUUGAAGUGUGGUGGUAACUGUAAUUAAUUGAAGCACAAUGAUGAGCUCAAUUAAUUGGAAUAUCGAGGCAAAACAAUUCUUUAGUUUUUUUUCUCAAUUUGUAGUUUUAUUUAGCAUUCACUCACGUAAAAAUUUCUUCAUUUCUUCAUUUGUUACAAAACCAUUAACUUACAAAGUAUUUUUUAUUACCUUUAUUAAAAAGAGUGCUUAAAGAGCCUAUAAUAUUUUAAAAUUUGGCUUGCACAUUUGAAAAACAUCACCUAAAAACCUAACCCUGUUGACAUGUAAAAACAAAAUCUAAUGUGGGAUGCAAAAAAUUAUAUAUAUGGCAUUAUUUUAUGAGUCACACAUAUGUGUUACAAUAAUUUAAACACACAUGUGUUUUAUUUUCAUAUAUUGCAAAUGUGAAAGAUUUUUUACCAGGUUAUCUACCCUAGGUACAUCAGAAUUUAAUAGCGUAAAUACAUUAAAUGAAAAUAUAUUAAAACUUAAACAUGAUAAUUUAAAAACAAUUAACUAAAACUUUAGAAAUAAUAUAGUAAAUUGUUAUUAAAUCAUUCAUUUCAUCUUCUCUUCUAAUAAAAAAGUAUGCUUUAAAUUUUUAUAAAACAUUCUUUAACAUGCUCAGAUAAUAAUAAUUAUUUAACUUUUAUUCAAAUUCUUGAAGCGGCAAAUAGAUCAUUUUCAAGUUUUGGAUCAAAUUUCAUCCACUCUAGAAGGGAGUGGCAUCGUAGAGAGGAAAUGCCAGGUUGAGGAUCUUCCUCAGCUCCUCCUUGGACACUUUAGCCUUGAGCGAUCCAGUGGAGCUCCCCUCCACGAUUGAUCCAGGUGAGCCCAGCACACUCCUACACAUGCGCUGGAGCUUGCUCCCCUGCAUCUUGAAGCUCAUCCCAAGCUCCUCGGACUCGGUUGCCGACCUCGUCUUUUUGAGCACCAGCGCCACCACUGGCUCGUGGCGCUGCUGCUGCCGCUCCUCCGCCGCCUCUUCUCCGCCUCCCAUCCCUUCUGCCACUCCCUCCUCCUCCUCGCCCGCCACCUCCUGGUUGCACGACUGUGAGUUCUCCACCCAUUCUCUCCUCAGGAGCCCCCUCGUCCUCUUGGGAUUGCGCUCGAAGACGUCGUAGUCGUGGACGUCUCCUCCGGUGGCUACUCCGCCGAGUUCUUCGAUCUCGAUCUCCAGCUCGUCUGGUUCUUUCUUUGGCGGGAGCAACACUAUGUUGGCGGCGUUGGCGCGAUCACUGGAUUUGACCAGCUUGCGGCGCUUGAAUAUCUCGACGCGGAACGUGAUCAUCUCGGAGGAGGAGUUCUCCUUUUGGAAGACGAGGACGUCUCCCUUGACGAGUUCGUGAUGGACGCAGAAGGCUUUCCACCCGGCACCAAUCACUGGCUGCAUCGUCCAGUUCCAUCUCAUCCUCCAUUGGUGACCACUCCGGUCGCGGACGAUCACCUCGGCUCUCCCGUGCGGCAUCAUCUUCUUGCAGUAGUUCGAAGGAAGAGUCUGCAGAAAAAAAAUAAAGAAGAAAAGAAAAACGAUUAGCAAGUUCUUUGUGAAGAUAUCGAAGGGAAAAAAGACAAGGAUAGCGAAACAUAAACCUCGAGCUUGUUCUUCGCUUACCAUAACGUAUGUGCCGCUCACACAGCACUGGUUCAAGACUUUAAUGGUGCUGCGACUCUUCUUUGCAAGAUGUUGCUGGUACUCCUGCGCGGCUUGGAGCGCUUCGUGCGAACCUGGCAGCUCCUCGCGAUUCCGCCGCUGCCGCUGCUGAUUGGAGGGGAUGUAACUCGACAGAGGACUGUCUUCCUCGUAAGAACCUGCGAAGAUACGCUCGAACAAAUAUAAGAAACGAAGUGAUGAGAGAAAAAAAAGCGAGAAGGAAAGCUCUGACCAGAUGGAUAAGCUUCGCCGCCGCUCGACUCCAUAGCUGGGCUCUCGCUCUUCUUCUUGCUUGCUGAAGGAAAAACCUCGCUGAGAGAGCGUCCGGUCUACUAGUACGUCCCAAUGAUGAAUGAUCCUGAGCCGUCGGAUUGGCUCCAUCCGGCGGCCAGCAUUCACGUACGAGGAAAGAAAAUGCUCGUAUCUUUCUAGUAGCCGUCGCUUUCCAUUUCGUGAUCUUUGCUCCAUUCUAGAGGCAACCUUGGAGACUUGCUUGGAUGGCUUUGCACAUGGAAAUAUACAAAAAAAAAUCCACAGUAUCAAUCAAAACUUCAGCUCUAAAGAGGCGAGAUUAUCACCUUCCAGGUAUCGAGUGUGUUCUUCGUUUCUAUAGAUGAGAUUACGCGGAUCCAAUAACUCCGAGCCAUUCGUCAUUCAAAACACCUUCCACAGUGUUAUACGAUUUGCCUAACAGUCCCUUUACGAGAGCUUGAAGGGCCUGACUGGUUAGAAGACGAGGAUAAUGCUUAUGCAUCAAGAGUCCCACCGGGUAGAGGUCCGACCUCGUCGUGUACCCGUACCAAGGAAUUCCCCAUUGCUCGUCCCAGCAUUUUCUAUCCCUGCUGUGCACACGCCUUCCAGAUCAACUUUCUUCACUCGUAGUCAUACAAGACAUUAGCUGGUCGAAUGUCGCGAUGCACCAAGCCUGCACAGCCACAUGAAACUAUAAGCUCCCAAAGAUAGACGAGCCUCGCCAGCACCAUGUAAGGCCUUUAAAGCCUUGCGAAUGCCAAGCACCAUCUGUCGCAGCUCGUCUUCCGAAACAGGCUCUCGCACGGCAAGAAGACGAACAGUCAUAACCAUGUAUGCUCCAGGAGCGUCGCUCCUGAUCGUUCUUCGUUUCUUGGCGGAGGAAUCACGGUCAGCAGUCGAUGACACCGGAUUCAACAGUUGCUCACUUUCACUCCUGGUCCUGAAUUUAGGCCCUUCAACACUGCCAAGAAGGUGUUUCCCACAUUUGGGAGGCCUGGAAGACAUCUUCGCAGUUGACGCCCCACUCGUUGCAGUAAUUGUUCCAGUCCCAUAUCACCUUGAGCUCAUAGCUCGAUCAAUCCGUGCAUUCAGCUCGCAUCUGAUAGCAAUACAACCGUCAGCCAAACUUCACACUUUCUCAUUACACUCACAUCGGUCUGGCUCCGAUGGCAGCAAGCAUUCCCUGGAGCUUGAUACAAGUUGAGGACUGGAGUCAGCUGAGUCAGAAACGGCUGCUCCUGCUGAAAAAAAAAGAGAGCAAAUUGAUGGUCGACAAAACGAAACCGAUCUUAUGAGCUACCUGAGGAUUGAUUUGUACAGUGAAAAACUGGAGAUGAGGUUCAAGCACGGCAUAGCAUACUAGAAACUGCCACUGGUAGAGUUGAGACUUUGUCCGUCAACAAGGAUUUCACUACCUCAAACUCAACGUCCUCCCUCUCUUCCCCGUACAUGACAAUCUCAUGACAAUCCAGUUGUCAAUGCAGAUCAAAGUCAAAAUGAGCUUGAGCUUCUUGUUCUCCCCUUAGUUCUUGAAGCAUGCGAUUGGGCUGGUGUUCAUUGCAACUAAAACGUGCCAGGUACUGUGAUUUCCGGGCUUCUGAUCCGGGAGAAGAGAUCACAUCGCUCCAGGAGGUCCAGAUUGCCUGCUCCACCGCUUCGGUAGUAUUCCCCUAGCUCGCUGGGCAAUUCAAGGCAGGGAACCUGUGGCCACUUCACAACCGGCAAUAUGCCAAGAGCUCCGGCGCCUCACUCACGGUAGCGUUGGCGAUGCCAAUGUGGAGGAAUUCGGUCGCCGAUAGAGGAGAACGAAUCUUCCCCGUCAUCCCCGUCACAAGCGAGAAAUCUUUUAUUGACUGGGCAUUGACUGGGCCGUUAGCUCGCCUGCUCUGUGUGAUCCUCUUUUUCCUGUGCUCCUUUUUGAGCAGCAACAAGGAGAGCCUGGCUAUGGCGGGGAUAUGCGUGGAGGGCAAUUCCUGUGCACGACUAGGCAUGAUGGGAUUACUAUUAUAAGUGCCACUACAUCAAAGGCAAUUGUGGGAUUUGCAGCACAGGAGUUUGCCAUCACCUCAAAUGCAAUUGCCUGCAAACCAUGCAGCUGAAUCGCGUGGUAAAAUCCUGUUACUCCAAAGUCUCAAUUGUUAAAAGUUUAUUAUAUAAGCACACUUACCAGAGAGAAGAAUAGUAAUUGGCACACAACAGUUACUUCAAUAGUUUGGUUGUUUUUCACUUGCAAGGGCAUUCGAUGAGAAACAAAGAAAAGAAGAACAUUGAAAAGAGAUUCUCCUCAAUCACAAAGUUGAGAAGAGGAAGUAGAAAUUCGUUUUUUCCUCUCUUAACCUGUCCUCCACGUCUUCCAUAAUUCCUAACUGAUGUUCCACAUUUCAUAAUCUCUGUCCCAUAUCUUAGCAAUUGAGUAUUGAUGUUCUUGAUCAAGCCCCCCAAGGUCACUGGAGCACUUCUACACAUUUUCUUUGCACCAAUAAUACGGCAUAUCUUGGCAACUAACAACGCAGCACCGUUUCCUUCGCUCGUAACAUAGCUCUAGCUAGGGCUUAUUAGCUAAAGGAAGACUCACGGCCAUACUGAGAUGGAACGCCACUAAAGCUCAAACACUAGAACUGGAAAGAUCUCUUCAUUGCCAGGUAUAUGAAGUACAAACAACAAAUGUUUUUUGCUCCUAGUUUUAGUAAUGCUUGUGAUACAAGAUUGUUUUCGAUCAUCCCCCAAGGAGAUGAUUCGACGAUCAGUGGCGAGCUCUCUUGCUGGGCGGCCCGGCUUGUUGUUGCUGAAGCGCCAGUUGCCUUGUGAAGUAGUUCACCUCCUUAGCCAGUCGCCUCCUGUUCGCUUCCUCCUCUUGCUGGAGCGCCACGGCCACCAUCCGCGUGAUCCGGUCGGCACGGGGAGGAUCCAACGCCACCUCGUCCUCCAUGUAAUGGCAGUCCGGACUGAGCGCCCUCUUGUUGUUGGUCUCGGCCCAGUGAUCAUAGUCCUCAAAGUCGAAGCUAUCGUAUUGUUUCACCCGGAUGCUCCUAUUGUUACCAGCCUCGAUCACCAAGUCGUCAAUCAUGCGCUUGAGCUCAACAUACCGCUCAACGUCCACCGCCACCAUCUUCGAUCUGCUCCGCUCGUGAGAAGUUCUUCUGGACUCCUUUUUACAAUCAUUUUUUCGCCAAAUUAUUCUUUCAUCAUCUUUAAGAUAAAAAAAAAGGUUUUAACCAGCCUACUGAAAUAUUUUAAAUUUGUUUUAUGGAGCUCCGCCGAUUUGAAGAGCUAGGAGCGAGGAGCCAGAAAUUCGUGGAUUCAACCAGAGUUUCGAAGACUUGUUUGGCCCCUGAAUUUUCCCAUCUUUCACUGAGCAUCAACUGUCUGAUUCCAGGAUUUAACCUCGUCAUCAUCAACGCGUCCAAUCCCGUCCUCUCAGUCCAGCAAGAGUUUCUUCCACCAGCUGGGACGCUUUGCAUGUAUAGCCCCUGGUAAUUAAUCCGCUGGAGAAAGCUCCCACGAAAAUUCGCCUUGCAUGUGCGCGAAGAUGCUGCUGCGGGGUUAAAAGGAGACUGCAUAAACAUGCACACACUUGUCAAUUACAAAAUCAUGCAAGGAGAGUAGGGGAGAAAAACAAGAACAGUACACACACACCGAAACAAGAAACACCAGGGAAAAAAAAAGGUGGCAGCCACACCUCCAAUGAUGUCCUCUAGAUAUGUAAUUGUACAUGGCACCCUCGAUCUCGUGCAGGGCGCUUCAUCCGCAUGGGAGGCAGGACAAUGGUCAUCAGAUCAAGCCUUUUCCACGAAUGCCUGCCAGUCUUCGUAACCUUUGGCUGACCGUCUUCAAUCACGUAGUCCCUCAGCAGCUGUAGUUGCGACAGCGUUGUGUGGGCAGACAUGAACGAAGACUGGUGUGGUACAGGGUGCGCCAUCUAUAACCACGGCGUUGGGGCUUUCAGGCAUGGCCUCCUGGCGUACAACAAAAAGCUUUCAACAAAAUCUUUGUGCCCAUAUGAAACAUUUCAAGGAAAGAUGUGUAAUUCAAUAGUGAGAAGGAAAAGAAAAGACAAGUCCUAAGCAAGAGAAAAAUUGCUCAAACACAGCAGCCACGGGCAUUGCAGCAGAAGGCCCAGCUCUGGAAUGUAGGAGUCCACAAUGUCAAGCCUCCGCCUCACGAGCCUCAAGUUGGGCCUGAAGGUGACGAAGGACAUAUGGUUGUUCACAACAGUGAAUGUCCGAUCACUUGUUGAGAGGAGGCGUAGUCCUCAAAGAGCUCCCCACGCGCAGAAGAAAAGUCAAUCUGGGCGAGAUUGGCCAGGGAAGCAUCCAUCUUCCCGGAUGCGAAGACCUUGCUUGUAAACAUAGUGCGGAUGUACCUGGAAGCAAAAGCUAUCGUCGGAGCGAGAAUUUUGGACGGCUGUAGAAAACUUUGUCCGCCAACUCCUCACGCCCCGUCACCAGGAAGCUCGACACUGCUCUUUGCUGUCUAUCCGUCACAGUGCCCAAAUCCUGGAAAAAAUGCGGAGCUAUGCCAACACAGACGUAAAGCCGUGCCAGGAAAUGUGCUGCUGAGAAAUCUCCGGCCGUAAGUGCUCCUGAAAUUCCCCGCCUGGUGCUUCCUCUUGAACGCUUUCAACAGCUCCGAAGGCUUCCAGGCAUCCAUAUGGAAAGUCACAAACCGGCCUCGUCCAUUGUCGCCUCAGCGGCAUCAGCACCAUUCAUCCGGGAUGGACUUGUAAAGAGGACCGUCCUUCCUCGCGUGCCUCUAUAUCCUUGAAAGCUAUCGUCCACAAGGAGCCACGUCCCUGCUAAGCUCAACAGGUCUGUCGGAACUUUAUACGAGAACCGGACCUCUCCGCCCGGCGAGAUGAUGAUGAAGGCCCUGGCGUCCGCAAACAGUUGCACUAAAACGUAUGCUCCAGCUAGUUCCGCGUCGCUGAGGAGCUCGCGAACGAAGUACCAGAUGCAGCACGACUUUCCUAUCCCCGGAUUACCGGAGAUGUGCGCGAAGGUGCUGCGGGCGUGUCUCAGCUGACGAUAGAUCUUCUCGUAAGACUUGCGAACGAGGAUGUCGGCAGGGUUGGCUGUGAGCUCGGCUAUGACGGCAGGGAGCCUCAGAAAUCCUUCCGCAUCCCGACCCCUGCACAGGUGCGAGCUGGUGUCCGGCGGGAAAAUCUUGUCCUUGGCAAAAGGGACUGCGUAAACACGCACACACUUGUCAAAAUUACAAAUCAUGGAAGAGCAGAGGGAACAUACACACAACGAAAACAAAAAGACUGUAUUGAAAUUCCUGAGAUACAUCUCCACUCCAGGAGCUAGGACAAAGUCAGGGCAGCACUGGCGCUUCAGCCACUUGCGGAUGGCAAUCUCAUGCGGCACAUUAAUUAACAACCGUGAGCAUGAACUUCUCACGAGCAGAGCAGAUUGAAGAUGAUGGCGGUGGACGUUGGGCGGUAUGUUUCGACGACUUGGCGACGAUAGUUUCGACUUUGCGGACUAUGAUCACUGGGCCGAGACCAACAACCAGAAGGCGCAGGCAAUCCCAUCCUCUCACUUGCACUCGAUUGAGUAUGAUCAGCAGCAUCACCACCACCAAAUCAGACCACUGUUUUGAUUCUCUGCUUUCACUUCCUCGACCAAUUCUACCCUGGAAAACAGUUUGAGCGAUGGAAAAAAAAGCGAGGCCUAGAAAACACUUCCGCUUCGUCGUGAAGAUGCUGGUUAGUAUCUCAUCGGAAAGGGAGGAGCGAUUCCAAUCUUGACCUCGAACAUCAAACGCUUCUCUUUGUCCUCCAGUGGAGGAACCAUUCUUUUGGUCACGUGAGAAUCCGUGACGUCGAUGCCUUGGCCAGGAAUGGUACGAGCUCGACAUAUCUACACAGGACUAAAAGCAAAGCUGUGAGUGACAAAACCAUCACCUCGAACAUAACACUGGAAAACUAAAUUUGAAGGAAGAAAACCAGCUUACUGUCGAUCUUGCUGCAGACCUUGCAAAUUCCCUCUUCCUGGUGCCACUUAAGAAACUCUUGGAACAAAUCCGAGAGUGGCCUCAUUGCGUUACUAGCCUUCCCAGAGCUAUCCAGCUCCAACCCAAGAAAUUUUUCUUUCUUGCGGAGUGCUGGACCUCGUCAACUUCUCCCUGAUUUCGAGGAAUGCGAGGCAAAUUUUCUUAGGAGCUUUCUCCAGCGGAUUGAUUACGAGGGGCUAUGCAUGCAAAGCGUCCCAGGAGAGAAAGCUGAUGGAAGAAACUCUUGCUGGACGACUUGGACUGGUGGGGAGAGAACGAGAUUGGACACAUGAUGCUCGACGGACGGCGAGAAGAUUAAAUCCUGGAAGCAGAGAGUGAAAGCUGGGAAAAAUCAAGGGACAGAAGCCAGUGAAAUUCCGCUUCCAAUUGCUUCGAAACUCUGGUUGAAUCCGAGAAUUUCUGGCUCCUCGCUCCUCAAAUCAGUGGAGAGCAUAGAACAAAUUUUAUAAUAUUGAAAUUGUUUUGUAUAGGGUUUGUGAUUGUAAAAGAACUUCUCGAGCAGAGCGAGAUGGUGGCGGUGGACGUUGAGCGGUAUGUUGAGCUCAAGCGCAUGAUCGACGACUUGGCGAUCGAGGCUGGUAACAAUAGGAGCAUCCGGGUGAAACAAUACGAUAGCUUCGACUUCGCGGACUAUGAUCACUGGGCCGAGACCAACAACAAGAGGGCGCUCAGGCCGGACUGCCAUUACAUGGAGGACGAGGUGGCGUUGGAUCCUCCCCAUGCCGACCGGAUCACGCGGAUGGACUUCACAAGGCAACUGGCGCUUCAGCAACAACAAGCUGGGCCACCGAGCAAGAGAGCUCGCCACUGAUCGUCGAAUCAUCCCCUGGAGUGAUGAUCGAAAACAAUCUUGUAUCACAAGCUCCAACAAACGUGUGAACAAAUCAAGCUCCUGCCAAGGAGCACAAACUUUUGUUGUUUGUACUUCAUAUACCUGGCAAUGAAGAGAUCUUUCCAGUUCUAUGAGCCGUAGUGGCGUUCCAUCUCGUGGAAUAUGGCCGUGAGUCAUUUGGGUCUUCCUUUAGCUAAUAAGCCCUAGCUAGAGCUACAUUAUGAGCGAAGGAAACGUUGCUGCGUUGUUAGCUGCCAGGGUAUGCCGUAUUAUUGGUGCAAAGAAAAUGUGUACAAGUGCUCCAGUGGUGCCUGAUCAAGAACAUCAAUACUCAAAAUCUAUACUGAUGAGUUCAACCUCUAAGGAAAAAACGUUUGUUUUGUUUUUUUGAAAAAAACAAUGCGCCUACUCCCUCUUCUCAACUUUGUGAUUGAGGAUAAUGGCUUUUCAAUGGUUCUUCUUUUCUUCUUUUCCUUGUUUCUCAUCGAAUGCUUGUGUUCUUGCUCCCGCUUCACCACUGCCCUUGCAAGUGAAAAACAACCAAACUACUGAAGGAACUGUUGUGUGCAUCAUGUUUUCUUCGAAUCAAAGUACUAUUCUUACGCUCUCUCUGGUUCUACUUGCGAGAACAAACAUGAAUUUAGAGACGAGUCGUUUAAAAUGAGUUCUUUGGAAGUACUUCUAAUAACAGAUUAAGAAAAUGGAGACUUUGGAGUAACAGGAUUUUACCAUGCGAUUCAGCUGCAGGGUUUACUCGAGGUGAUGGCAAACUCCAGUGCUGCAAAUCUCACACUUGCUGCCUUUGGCACUUCUGGCAGUAGUCCCGGCACACCUGGUCGCUUGGAGGUGCACAGGAAGUGCCCCUCCACACAUAUCCCCGCCAUAGCCAGGCUCUCCUUGUUGACCACUCCAGGGUGACGACCAAGUCCAUGAGGUGAGCUUGGCCAUUUUGGAGAAUAUAUAUUCCAUUUCCCACUAAGGCUGUGGGUGGUAAUGUUUUUCACAGGGUUAGUAGCCUCACAAACUGUCGUUGAUUUCUUCGAACAUGGCAUGGUUUAGAUGCUCUAAGACGAAAUGGAGACAUUGCUUUUUUUCGUCCAAUAGGAGAAACGAAGAACAAACAACAUGGUACGUACCUGAGGACAAUGUCUGAGAAAAGAAUGAUAAAGAACAAGAAGACGAGGUCGGCAGCCAGUCCGAGGAGCUCGGGGUGACCGUAAAGAUGCACGUCAAGCGCAUGACUAGGAGCCUGAUGGGCUCGCCCGGAGCGAUCGUGCAGGGCAGCUUCGAUGGAUCGCUCAAGGCUAAAGCAUCUGAAGAAGAGCUGAGGAAGAUCCUCCGCCUGGCAUUUCACUAUGAUGCCUUCUAGUGGAAAACUGAUAAGAACUGAUGUCUUGAGAUGUAUUUUAACUUAGAAAUGUAUUUUCCUUUUACACAACAACUAUUGGAGCAAUCGAUUUCACUGAACGAAGAAAUCUUGGUUUUGGUGGUGACAACUGUGAUGGCGGGUCCUUGUCCUCGCUAGACUCUUUGGGACAACUUUUGGACGUGCUAGCCUCCACUGCAUUGAUCACAAACAAGCUCCCCAUUGCACUACUUGUUGAUGGAUCCUAGGUUAUAUACAAACUGAAAAGGGUUGAGACAAAAGGGAGGCAUAUAUAGCUUUUAGUACGAAUAUUCUUUAUUUUAUUCUGGUCUAAGCUGUUUUGCGUUCAUGUCUUAAGAAAAAAAAUUAUAAUAAUAAAAACAUAAAGAGAAAUAAAAAAUAUAUUAUGAUUUAAUAUUUGAGCUUUUAUCCUCAUUGAAAUGCCACAUCCACUUGCAUGGUUUCCUAGCUUGCUACUCCAAAGGUUCUAGGCAUUAUAAAAUGAUUAGAAAAUCAAUGCUAAAGUAAAGAUAAAUCUUUUUAGGUAUAUCUUGAAAGUAAAAUUGAAUUGUUUGGCUAUGAGGUAUAAAAUCCUAAACUUCCCUUCUAACAUUAUAGGUAUUAAUAUAAACUUACUUCAAGGAUUAUUAGUAUUAAAAAUAUUAGUUAGGAUUUUAAUAAUUGACAGCAAAAAGCAAUAUAAGUUUAAACAAGAAAAAUAUAAAAGAAAUGUUACUUACAAUGCUUACAGAAAUAUGGCAACGAAUAUGUGAUUUCGCAUGGAAGCAUUAUAUAUUUACACAUGUGUGAAUUUAUUUUUUUGUUUUGAGUUACAUGCAAAAAUAUUAUGCAUACAAUCACUUUUCAAUUGGUAUAUAAGCAAUCAAAAUGCCAUUGUGUUGUCAUGAGAUAUGUUAUAUAUGCAUGGGGCAUAACAACUCAUAUUACUAUAUACACAUCAUGCCAUAUCAUUUUAGACAAUAUAACAUCACUGCAAUUUAGCAAGGGUUUUUUUUCUCGUUCUUGUGAGUGCAAAUUUAUGAUGAGUUAAUUGUGAUCAUUUCUCUCCUCUCAUUUCUCUUAGUUAUAAUCCAUUUUUCAUGGUUAUUACUCAUUUCUCACAACUAUAGCUUAUUUUUUGCAAUUUUGGCUCAUUUCUCACAACUUAAAAGUGUUAUGCACCUUAAUAUAUUUAUUGCACCUCUCAUUUUUUGUAAUCUAUUUGCAGUAUAACACUUUAACUUAGUGCUAUAAUAAAUGUGAUCGAUUGGAGUGUAAUGUGCAAUCAAUUGGAGUGCAAUGGUGAGUGCAAUCUAUUGGAGUGUGGUGGUAAGUGUAAUUAAUUGAAGCAUAAUGAUGAGCUCAAUCAAUUGGAAUAUAAAGGCAAAAUAAUUAUUUAGUUUUUUCUCAAUUUUGUAACUUUCUCUAGCAUUCACUCACAUAAAAGUUCCUUCAUUUCUUCAUUUGUUGCAAAACUAUUAACUUACAAAGUAUUUUUCAUUACCUUUAUCAAAGAGUGUUUAAAGAGCCUAUAAUAUUUUAAAAUCUAACUUGCACAUUUAAAAAAUAUCACCCAAAAACUUAACCCUAUUGACAUGUAAAAAUAAAAUCUAACAUAGGAUGCAAAAAAUUAUAUAUAUAGCAUUAUUUUAUGAGUCACACACGUGUUACAAUAAUUUAAAUACACAUGUGUUUUAUUUUCAUAUAUUUUACAAAUGUGAAAGAUAUUUUACUAAGUUAUCUAUCCUAGGUACAUCUCCUAUCUUGGGAGGUGUACCUCCCCUCAAAAUACUUCAAAAUUUAAUAGUGUAAAGAUAUUAAAUGAAAAUAUAUUAAAAUGUAAACAUGAUAAUUUUAAAACAAUUAACUAAAACUUUAGAAAUAAUAUAGUAAAUUGUUAUUAAAUCAUCUCUUCUAAUAAAAAAGUAUGCUUUAAAUUUUUAUAAAAAAUUCUUUAACAUGCUCAGAUAAUAAUAAUUAUUUAAAUUUUAAUCAUAAUUUUCAGUGGCAANNNNNNNNNNNNNNNNNNNNNNNNNNNNNNNNNNNNNNNNNNNNNNNNNNNNNNNNNNNNNNNNNNNNNNNNNNNNNNNNNNNNNNNNNNNNNNNNNNNNNNNNNNNNNNNNNNNNNNNNNNNNNNNNNNNNNNNNNNNNNNNNNNNNNNNNNNNNNNNNNNNNNNNNNNNNNNNNNNNNNNNNNNNNNNNNNNNNNNNNNNNNNNNNNNNNNNNNNNNNNNNNNNNNNNNNNNNNNNNNNNNNNNNNNNNNNNNNNNNNNNNNNNNNNNNNNNNNNNNNNNNNNNNNNNNNNNNNNNNNNNNNNNNNNNNNNNNNNNNNNNNNNNNNNNNNNNNNNNNNNNNNNNNNNNNNNNNNNNNNNNNNNNNNNNNNNNNNNNNNNNNNNNNNNNNNNNNNNNNNNNNNGGCUAUGGCAGGGAUAUGCAUGGAGGGGCAAUUCCUGUGCACCUUCACAAGCAACUAGGCGUGAUGGGACUACUGUUAUAAGUGCCACUACAUCAAAGGCAACAGUGAGAUUUGCAGCACUGGAGUUUGCCAUCACCUCAAAUGCAAUUGUAUCGCCCCUGCAGCUGAAUCACGUGGUAAAAUCCUGUUACUCCAAAGUCUCAAUUGUUAAAAGUUUAUUAUAUAAGCACACUUACCAGAGAGAAGAAUAGUAAUUGGCACACAACAGUUACUUCAAUAGUUUGGUUGUUUUUCACUUGCAAGGGCAUUCGAUGAGAAACAAAGAAAAGAAGAACAUUGAAAAGCGAUUCUCCUCAAUCACAAAGUUGAGAAGAGGAAGUAGAAAUUCGUUUUUUCCUCUCUUAACCUGUCCUCCACGUCUUCCAUAAUUCCUAACUGAUGUUCCACAUUUCAUAAUCUCUGUCCCAUAUCUUAGCAAUUGAGUAUUGAUGUUCUUGAUCAAGCCCCCCAAGGUCACUGGAGCACUUGUACACAUUUUCUUUGCACCAAUAAUACGGCAUAUCUUGGCAACUAACAGCGCAGCAUCGUUUCCUUCGCUCGUAACAUAGCUCUAGCUAGGGCUAAAGGAAGACUCACGGCCAUACUGAGAUGGAACGCCACUAAAGCUCAAACACUAGAACUGGAAAGAUCUCUUCAUUGCCAGGUAUAUGAAGUACAAACAACAAAGGUUUUGUGCUCCUAGUUUUAGUAAUGCUUGUGAUACAAGAUUGUGUUCGAUCAUCCCCCAAGAGGAUGAUUCGACGAUCAGUGGCGAGCUCUCUUGCUCGGCAGCCCGGCUUGUUGUUGCUGAAGCGCCAGUUGCCUUGUGAAGUAGUUCACCUCCUUAGCCAGUCGCCUCCUGUUCGCUUCCUCCUCUUGCUGGAGCGCCACGGCCACCAUCCGCGUGAUCCGGUCGGCACGGGGAGGAUCCAACGCCACCUCGUCCUCCAUGUAAUGGCAGUCCGGACUGAGCGCCCUCUUGUUGUUGGUCUCGGCCCAGUGAUCAUAGUCCUCAAAGUCGAAGCUAUCGUAUUGUUUCACCCGGAUGCUCCUAUUGUUACCAGCCUCGAUCACCAAGUCGUCAAUCAUGCGCUUGAGCUCAACAUACCGCUCAACGUCCACCGCCACCAUCUUCGAUCUGCUCCGCUCGUGAGAAGUUCUUCUGGACUCCUUUUUACAAUCACUAACCCUAUACAAAACAAAUGGAUAUGCCACUUUUUUGCCAAAUAUUCUUUCAUUAUCUUUAAGACAAAAAAAAAGGUUUUAACCGGCUUAUUGAAAUAUUUUUAAAUUUGUUUUAUGGAGCAGCGAUCUCCACAGAUUUGAAGAGCUAGGAGCGAGGAACUAGAAAUUCGUGGAUUCAACCAGAGUUUCAAAGACUUGUUUUGUCCCUGAAUUUUUUCCAUCUUUCACUGAGCUCAUCGAUGGCAUCAACUCUCUGCUUUCAGGAUUUAAUCUCCUCGUCAUCCGUCCAAGCAUCAAUCCCGUCCUCAGUCCAAGUCGUCCAGCAAGAGUUUCUGCCACCAGCUGGGACGCUCUGCAUGUAUAGCCCCUGGUAAUUAAUCCGCUGGAGAAAGCUCCCACGAAAAUUCGCCUUGCAUGUGCGCGGCUGCGGGGUUAAAAGGAGACUGCAUAAACAUGCACACACUUGUCAAUUACAAAAUCAUGCAAGGAGAGUAGGGGAGAAAAACAAGAACAGUACACACACACCGAAACAAGAAACACCAGGGGAGAAAAAAAAAGUGGCAGCCAUGCCUCCAAUGAUGUCCUCUAGAUCCGUAAUUGUACAUGGCACCUCGAUCUCGUGCAGGGCGCUUCAUCCAAACGCAAUUAAAGCAAGCUUUUGCAUGCGGUUCAGAACUUCCCUCUCCUCUCUUUCAAAUGCUUCCCUGAAGCCCUUGCGUGAGUCGUCGUCCAUGGGAGGCAGGACAAUGGUCAUCUGGGGAAUAGGCAGAUCAAGCCUUUUCCACGAAUGCCUGCCAGUCUUCGUAACCUUUGGCUGACCGUCUUCAAUCACGUAGUCCCUCAAACCCAUGAAACUCCCCGCUUGCUUGAUGCUUAACUCCUGGAUUAUAAUUUAUCAUGUUCACAAGCUCCCCAUUCCCCAGCACAUCCCUGUAUCGCCUCUUGAACGCUUUCAACAGCUCCGAAGGCUUUUAGGCAUCCAUAUGGAAAGUCACAAACUGGGCCUCAUCCAUUGUCGUCUCAGCGGCAUCAGCACCAUUCCGGGAUGGACUUGCGAAGAGGACCCUCCUUCCUCGUGUGGCUCUAUAUCCUUGAAAGCUAUCGUCCACAAGGAGCCAAGUCCCUGCUAAGCUCAACAGGUCUGUCGGAACUUUAGAUCUCUCCGCCCAGCGAGAUGAUGAUGAAGACCCUGGCAUCCACAAACAGUUGCACUAAAAUGUAUCUCCAGCUAGUUCCGCAUCGCUGAGGAGCUCGCGAACGAAG